GCAUUAAGAGCCUGACCCAAAGCCCACUGAAAUCAAUGGGAGUCUUUUCACUGAUUUUAAUAGGCUUUGGAUCAAGCCCUAAGAGC
rnacentral:pre_miRNA from 1 species